CAGAGACUGCAAGCGUUAUUCGGAUUCACUGGGCGUAAAGGGUGCGCAGGCGGCCGUGUGUGUGAGGCGUGAAGGCCCGGGGCUUAACCCCGGAAUUGCACCUCAAACUACAUGGCUAGAGCAUUGGAGAGGGUAGCAGAAUUCAUAGUGUAGCAGUGAAAUGCGUAGAUAUCAUGAGGAAUACCAGAGGCGAAGGCGGCUACCUGGACAAUUGCUGACGCUCAGGCACGAAAGCGUGGGGAGCAAAAGGGAUUAGAUACCCCUGUAGUCCACGCCCUAAACGGUGCACACUAGGUCUUGGCGGAUUCGACCCCACCAGGGCCCAAGCUAACGCGUUAAGUGUGCCGCCUGAGGACUACGGCCGCAAGGCUA
rnacentral:rRNA from 1 species